rnacentral:rRNA from 1 species
GAGUUUGAUCCUGGCUCAGAGUGAACGCUGGCGGCAGGCCUAACACAUGCAAGUCGAACGGCAGCACAAGGGAGCUUGCUCCCUGGGUGGCGAGUGGCGGACGGGUGAGGAAUACAUCGGAAUCUGCCCAGUCGUGGGGGAUAACCUCGGGAAACCGGGACUAAUACCGCAUACGACCUACGGGUGAAAGCGGAGGACCGCAAGGCUUCGCGCGAUUGGAUGAGCCGAUGUCGGAUUAGCUUGUUGGCGGGGUAACGGCCCACCAAGGCGACGAUCCGUAGCUGGUCUGAGAGGAUGAUCAGCCACACUGGAACUGAGACACGGUCCAGACUCCUACGGGAGGCAGCAGUGGGGAAUAUUGGACAAUGGGCGCAAGCCUGAUCCAGCCAUGCCGCGUGAGUGAAGAAGGCCCUCGGGUUGUAAACCUCUGUCACCGGGGAAGAAACGCUUCAGGCUAAUAACCUGAAGCCUGACUUAACCCGGAGAGGAAGCAGUGGCUAACUCUGUGCCAGC